rnacentral:lncRNA from 1 species
UUUUUUUUUUUUUUUUUUUUUUUUUUUUUUUUUUUUUUUUUUUUUUUUCUCACAUGCAUUGUUGCAAAUGUUGUCAAUCUUUGGAUGGUCUCUGAAGUAAGCCUUAGUCCAUGCUUCUUUAGGCCACUUGUUCAGAUAGUUCCAAGCUUGGACAUUCUUAGCUUUCAACUUGUCCAUCUUAUCAUUGAACUCAGGGAUUGUUCUUGCUCUAGCACACUCCCACACCACAUUCUUCAUCUCUUUGUCUUUCCAUUGCUUUGUGAAGUUCCUCCAUAGGUGCAUUGCACAAUUCUUGAAACAUUAAAGUCCUAAAAAAUAUAACAAAUACUUAACAGAAAAAGUUACCUUCUGCAUGUCUGA